AAACACCGUCACAUUUCGCAGCUGCAUCCCACACGAGCCUUACCUUUGAUGGUUUAUUCGGAUUUCUCACUAUAAAAAUUGUAUUUGAAAACGAUUAAACGCCAUGGAAUAGCUGUCAGGCAAAUUGAAUUUAUCGUACUUCCAAAGAAGACCGACUUCAUAUUUUUUUUCGAUACGAACACACGUUUCUUCAAGAAUUCUGAUGGCCUUUUUUUCUUCUGUGGAUACCAUUUGAAGCGUUGGAAUGCGUACACCGAUGUUUUCAAUUGAAAAGAAGUUUUCUACAAGUUGAUGAAGCUCUGUAUCAUUCUGGUUUUGAAAUAUAUUCAAUGCAAAUUCAGUGUUUUUAAAA